rnacentral:rRNA from 1 species
AUUGAACGCUGGCGGCAUGCCUUACACAUGCAAGUCGAACGGCAGCACGGGAGCUUGCUCCUGGUGGCGAGUGGCGAACGGGUGAGUAAUACAUCGGAACGUACCCUGAAGUGGGGGAUAACGUAGCGAAAGUUACGCUAAUACCGCAUAUUCUGUGAGCAGGAAAGAGGGGGAUCGCAAGACCUCUUGCUUUAGGAGCGGCCGAUGUCGGAUUAGCUAGUUGGUGAGGUAAAGGCUCACCAAGGCGACGAUCCGUAGCGGGUCUGAGAGGAUGAUCCGCCACACUGGGACUGAGACACGGCCCAGACUCCUACGGGAGGCAGCAGUGGGGAAUUUUGGACAAUGGGCGCAAGCCUGAUCCAGCCAUGCCGCGUGAGUGAAGAAGGCCUUCGG